rnacentral:rRNA from 1 species
AUUGAACGCUGGCGGCAGGCCUAACACAUGCAAGUCGAGCGGAUGAAGGGAGCUUGCUCCUGGAUUCAGCGGCGGACGGGCGAGUAAUGCCUAGGAAUCUGCCUGGUAGUGGGGGAUAACGUCCGGAAACGGGCGCUAAUACCGCAUACGUCCUGAGGGAGAAAGUGGGGGAUCUUCGGACCUCACGCUAUCAGAUGAGCCUAGGUCGGAUUAGCUAGUUGGUGGGGUAAAGGCCUACCAAGGCGACGAUCCGUAACUGGUCUGAGAGGAUGAACAGUCACACUGAGACUGGGACACGGUACAGAGUCCUAGAUGAGGCAGCGGUGGGGAAUAUUGGACGAAGGGGGGAAGCCUGAUCCAGCCGCGCCACGUGUAUGAAGAGAGUCUUCGGGUUGUAAAGCGCUUUAAGGUGGGAGGAAGGCUAGUAAGUUGAUACCUUGCUGUUUUGACGGUACCAACAGAAUAAGCACCGGCUAACUUCGUG